rnacentral:rRNA from 1 species
GGCAUGCUAACACAUGCAAGUCGAACGAGGUGUAGCAAUACAUCUAGUGGCGGACGGGUGAGGAACACGUAGGAAUUUGCCUUAGAGCGGGGGAUAGCCCAGGGAAACUUGGAGUAAUACCGCAUGAUGUCGAAAGACCAAAGCAGGGGACCGCAAGGCCUUGCACUCUGAGAGAAGCCUACGUCUGAUUAGCUAGUUGGUGGGGUAAUGGCCCACCAAGGCGACGAUCAGUAACUGGUCUGAGAGGACGAUCAGUCACACUGGAACUGAGACACGGUCCAGACUCCUACGGGAGGCAGCAGUGGGGAAUAUUGGACAAUGGGCGCAAGCCUGAUCCAGCAAUGCCGCGUGUGUGAAGAAGGCCUUCGGGUUGUAAAGCACUUUAAGCAGGGAAGAAAAAACUCGAGCUAACAUCUUGAGUCUUGACGGUACCUGAAGAAUAAGCACCGGCUAACUCUGUGCCAGCAGCCGCGGUAAUACAGAGGGUGCAAGCGUUAAUCGGAUUUACUGGGCGUAAAGGGUGUGUAGGUGGUUUGACAAGUCGGUUGUGAAAUCCCCGGGCUUAACCUGGGAACUGCUUCCGAGACUGUUUGACUAGAGUACGGUAGAGGGCGGUGGAAUUUCCGGUGUAGCGGUGAAAUGCGUAGAUAUCGGAAGGAACACCAAUGGCGAAGGCAGCCGCCUGGGCCUGUACUGACACUGAAACACGAAAGCGUGGGGAUCAAACAGGAUUAGAUACCCUGGUAGUCCACGCCGUAAACGAUGGACACUUGACGUCGGCAUGCUCUGCGUGUCGGUGU